rnacentral:rRNA from 1 species
CCUACGGGAGGCAGCAGUGGGGAAUUUUGGACAAUGGGGGCAACCCUGAUCCAGCAAUGCCGCGUGAGUGAAGAAGGCCUUCGGGUUGUAAAGCUCUUUUGUCAGGGAAGAAACACCGGCUCUAACACAGUCCGGGAAUGACGGUACCUGAAGAAUAAGCACCGGCUAACUACGUGCCAGCAGCCGCGGUAAUACGUAGGGUGCGAGCGUUAAUCGGAAUUACUGGGCGUAAAGCGUGCGCAGGCGGUUAUACAAGACAGGCGUGAAAUCCCCGGGCUUAACCUGGGAAUGGCGCCUGUGACUGUAUAGCUAGAGUGUGUCAGAGGGGGGUAGAAUUCCACGUGUAGCAGUGAAAUGCGUAGAUAUGUGGAGGAAUACCAAUGGCGAAGGCAGCCCCCUGGGAUAACACUGACGCUCAUGCACGAAAGCGUGGGGAGCAAACAGGAUUAGAUACCCUGGUAGUCCACGCCCUAAACGAUGCUGACUAGUUGUUCGGGAUUUACAUCCUGAGUAACGUAGCUAACGCGUGAAGUCAGCCGCCUGGGGAGUACGGUCGCAAGAUUAAAACUCAAAGGAAUUGACGG